CCAAGAGAUCUUAUUUUUCGAAUUGAUAAACCGAUAAGCACUCACACAAUUCACAGGCUAUGGUGCCCAUUACAUCCUUUUACAUUAGCACUGCACUUAACCAGAUUCAUCGGGAUUUCUCUCAUAUUGAGGGAUUACAAGAAGAUUAAGAUUGUCGUUUCCCAUCCCAUCAUCAAUAAUACAGCCAUGAAAAAGAGUGAUGCUAGCCUCCGACCAUUCCUUACUACCUGAAAAUUUCAAAUCAGAAAACUUGUUCAUAAAGGCAAAGAUUAAUAUGAUAAUUAUGAAUGGAAUUCAACUUAACAUGGCCUAAUGAAUUACCUGCACAAAUAGUUUCCAUGUUCUUCAAAUCAAAAGGGAGCUCCGCUAGCUUCUGCACAAGUAAUUAAGUUGGUUUUGUGAGUUCUUGACUGUGGUUGCUUCGGGUGUGGUAUAACACAAUGUAUGGACACAGGUAGCGGAC
rnacentral:lncRNA from 1 species